UCGGCUAAGGAAUUAUUUUUGCAACCAAAAUCUUUAAUCUACAGGCUAGUUUUGUACAAUACUUGUAAUGAAGGAUCAGAAUAUCUUUUGUAGUUUCAAACCAACUCUUUGAGUUUAAUGAAAAUUGAAAUAGUCUGCCGACUAAUGAUCCUCUUCAUAUCAUCUCCAAGUAUCUUGUGUGAAAGUUUAAAUAAUAAUGUUGUCGAUAAAUCAUUGGAAUCAAUACGAAAAAGAAAAAGUUCGCCUCCCAGAAUCCGUCCCAUAAUUUUGCAUUCUCCACGAAUAACUAACUGGGGAAAUUGGCUGGAUUAUUUUUCUACGUGUCCAAAUGAGACGUUUGUUGUGGGUAUGCAGUUAAAAACUGACGCCUUUCAUGGCAAUCAUAAUAAUGGUGGGAUAGCCGAUAACACGGCCCUCAAUGGGGUCAAAUUUUUGUGUGCAAGGACGACUUUUACAGUACGUGCAAGUCAAUCAUCUCUACCUGACCCAAACUCUAAUAUUGUGGUCGUAAACAUCACGAACCAGCAACAAAAGUGGGGAAAAUGGGGUCGUCUAUUCAUGUGCCGCAAAGGACACGUUGCGGUUGGAUUCCAAUUAAGAGUUCGCAAAGCUCUACCGGGGGGAUCUGGAUAUGGAUUUAAGAUGGAUGACGUCGCCACAUGUAAUAUGAGACUUUUUUGCUCAGAUGGUCAGUGGUUGGAAGGGGACGGACGAAAUGAAUGGGGACGGUGGACAAGGAAACAGCAAACAUGUCCCGGGGGAUACGCUAUUUGUUCUUUGAAAACCCAAGUGGAAAGUGACCAAUUUAUGUUCACCCCCUAGGCUGAAUUGGUGCUCGAUUGAACUGCAUGUGGACCCUCAGGAAAAUGGGAAAGUCGCUUCGUGAACACUGCUCAUUUAUCUAUGAAUAGAAUGUUCCAACCCUAUCUCAGCCACUUGUCGGUUUGUGGGAUCUUGACUGAGAUGCUGGUGAAAGUUCGUACGGCGAGAGGAACUGCGCCCACGCUUUAUCAGAUUCACUAGCUUCCAAAAUGUCAAAACAAGUUCACAAUAAACGACUUGUCAUUUUGUGCCUGGCUGGCGCAAAUUUUGCUCAAAUGUACUUUUAACCGAGACGUUUAUGUUUUGAGUUGACAUCCCAGAGGAAACCAUGUUUUUCGUAUCAGCCGUAUGUUUUUUCAAUAAAAAAACGUUCACAAAAUAAAAAUCACAAAACGCUGAUAAAUAAAAUGCCCAUGUCGACUGUCAUGUCAGCAUCUUUGAACAUGGUUGUGAAUUCUAGACAUUAUUAUUUCUAUUUAGAAUAGGUUAACUGCUAGCUAAAUGCAUAUGUAUGAUUUUCAUCGAUUAUGUUGACCUAUAAAGUUUUGAUGACACAUUUACUUUACAGUUGACGAUACUGCGUUAAAUAACAUAGAUGUGGGCUGUUGUCCUUUCGAGAACGAUGCUGUUCACGUCGAUGAUGAAGAAGAGGAUUAUAUCCCAGAGAAACCUGUUGCUGACAGUAAUCUCGACGGAUCAGAACCAAAUCACGAGCUUCCUUUCUUCCAGAACAAAGCUGCCCUGGGCUGCUUAAAAAUCCUGACUAUUGUGAAGAAGGCUGUCGACUACUUAUGGGCUCAAAUCAAUGACAUGAAGAAACUUUCUCGGAGCAGCUAAAUUGGAAAUAUUUUGAUGGAAAUGUGGAGCGUACAGAUUGAAAAAGUCUCUUUCACACGCCAAUAUUGAUGACUUUCUCCACAGAUACCUUUCACUUUUGCGUUUCAGAUUACAAGACAAAUUCAUUGCGUAAAUAAAUUAUAUCUUUGAGAUGAAUUAUUUACAAGAAUCCAUUUACUAUUUUGACCACACUAUUUAUACAUUUUAAGCUUAGGAUUAGUUAGUUUUACAUAAAUAUAUAUAUAUUUACAUUUACUGACUAAAUUAUGUACCAAUAGUCUCAUUUAUUCCUAUAUAUAUUGCUCAAUUUAUGUACAUCCG